GAUGCAGCCAUGCCGCGUGUAUGAAGAAGGCCUUACGGGGUUGUAAAGGUACUUUACAGCUAGUGAGGAAGGUGGAGUAUGUUAAUAGCAUAUUCAUUUGACGUUAGCUGCAGAAGAAGCACCGGCUAACUCCGUGCCAGCAGCCGCGGUAAUACGGAGGGUGCGAGCGUUAAUCGGAAUUACUGGGCGUAAAGCGCAUGCAGGUGGUUUGUUAAGUCAGAUGUGAAAGCCCGGGGCUCAACCUCGGAAUUGCAUUUGAAACUGGCAAACUAGAGUACUGUAGAGGGGGUAGGAAGUUUCUAGGUGUAGCGGUGAAAUAGCGUAGAGAUCUGAAGGAAUAACCGGUGGCGAAGGCGGCCCCCUCGGACAGAUACUGACACUCAGAUGCGAAAGACGUGGGGAGGCAAACAGGAUUAGAUACCCUGGUAG
rnacentral:rRNA from 1 species